GGUGAAGAACGUAGCGAAAUGCGAUACGUAGUGUGAAUUGCAGAAUUCAGUGAGUCAUCGAAUCUUUGAACGCACAUUGCACCUCUCGGUAUUCCGGGAGGUAUGCCUGUUCGAGCGUCAUUUGUACCCUCAAGCUCUGCUUGGUGUUGGGUGUUUGUUCCGCCUCUGUGUGUGAACUCGCCUCAAAACAAUUGGCAGCCGGCGUACUUGUUUCGGAGCGCAGCACAUUUUGCGAUCCAGAUCAACGUACAGCGGCAUCCAAGAAGCCUUAUUUAACGCUCUUGACCUCGGAUCAGGUAGGGAUACCCGCUGAACUUAAGCAUAUCAAUAAGCGGAGGA
rnacentral:misc_RNA from 1 species